ensembl:snoRNA Gm25345 predicted gene, 25345
CCUGCCUCCUAGAGGCCUUACUGGCAUGGCUGCUAUGUCACAUGUGUGUCAGUAGGUGGCAGAGAGGAGAGAGGCUGUGUCUACACUCAAUGCUCUAACCUGAGAACAUCUGAAUGAUUAACAGACCUUGAGA